ACCUUGCGGGAGAGAUCUGCCGGUCGCGAGGCCGGCAGGCGCCGAAGGAGCAGAGGUCCCGAAAACUCUCAGGCAACCGGGACCGCAAGGGA
rnacentral:ncRNA from 1 species